UGUCUCCAGAUGUAUCAGAUUUCAAAGUUAUUGAGGGAAGAUUAAGUCUAAAUUGUCAGACUGAAGCCAGCUGUUCAGAAGCCAUGCUUGAUUGGAGCACCUGUUGCUACUUUCUCUUCCUCUGGUCUGGUCCAGCUCAAGGUUUCACGGCAGCAGACACCACUAUGAGUCCAUUUGUCCUGCUUUGAGUUAAGCGACUGCCUCCUAAAUGUGCUUUUUCUCUCAUGCGGUUGGUUGGAUGUGUUUGAAGGGGGGCCGUGGCAUCUUACCCCUUUGGACUCCAUUGACUUUGCCUUUGUUCCUGUUGCCAAGCUACCCUGCUCUUUUGGCAAGCACAAAGCAGGCUCAUCUGCCUCUCACCACGUCUUCUUUUCAUGCUGAGUCUAAGUGUGCUUCACGAGCCACCAAAAUAGCUUUGCUUCAUAUGGCGUGAGGGUUUGAAACCCUCUGCUCAUGUCCAUGCUCAUCUGCUGGCAACCUGGCUUACAUAACUCUCCCUCACACGCCCAAGACAAUGGGAAAGACGGAGCAAACAAUCAGAGUGUUUGCUUGCCCGUCGGCAGACACCGAUGACAUCAGGGGCCAGUAAUGUUUGGAGCACCUGUGCCGGAGGGCCCUGUAUUUACCGACACUGAAGGCUCAGACUAUGGAAUGUUGUGUAAACACUGGAAAGAAUCCGGGGGAUCCCUUAAACCUGAGGGUUAAGACUGUCCUCAGGCUGCCAGCACCUCAGCUCUCAGCAUGUUUGAGCUUGAAAAUAUGCAAGGCAGUGAUUUUUUUUUUCCUACUUUGCCCUUUAUGUGUUUAAGUCUUAUAAAUCCAGAAACUUCUAUCAUUGUGGUUGGUUUUCACACUCACUAGAUUUCCGUAAGUGCAAAAUCAAGUUGCAUAAUUCUUGCCAUGCAUUACAGAUUUGUCUUUUUUCUUUUUAAAUGAAUGAAUGAAUUUUAUUUUUUAUUUUGCUGUCUUUGCUAAAUCCUUUCAAACGUCAAAACGCAUCUAAACAGUUCAGAAGCCCAAAAACCUGUUAACCAGCUGAUGCCAGCCAAGACUUACUUAGUUUAAUUAAUUAAUUGUUUAAUUGCACUAAAGUAUUACAUAUUGACAG